rnacentral:rRNA from 1 species
GAUGAACGCUGGCGGCGUGCCUAAUACAUGCAAGUCGAGCGAACAGAUGAGGAGCCUGCUCCUCUGACGUUAGCGGCGGACGGGUGAGUAACACGUGGAUAACCUACCUAUAAGACUGGGAUAACUACGGGAAACCGGAGCUAAUACCGGAUAAUAUAUUGAACCGCAUGGUUCAAUAGUGAAAGACGGUUUUGCUGUCACUUAUAGAUGGAUCCGCGCCGCAUUAGCUAGUUGGUAAGGUAACGGCUUACCAAGGCAACGAUGCGUAGCCGACCUGAGAGGGUGAUCGGCCACACUGGAACUGAGACACGGUCCAGACUCCUACGGGAGGCAGCAGUAGGGAAUCUUCCGCAAUGGGCGAAAGCCUGACGGAGCAACGCCGCGUGAGUGAUGAAGGUCUUCGGAUCGUAAAACUCUGUUAUUAGGGAAGAACAAAUGUGUAAGUAACUAUGCACGUCUUGACGGUACCUAAUCAGAAAGCCACGGCUAACUACGUG